rnacentral:misc_RNA from 1 species
UGUUUACGCCGUAAGGCAAGGUAGUGAAUGGUGUGUGGAUGAUGGCUUGAAGAGUGAUUGUGUGUAAAUGGGGUGACCGGCAGCAUGGAAAGGGCGUGGAAGUAUUUUAUUUUGUUAAUUUGGUUUUCAUAUUUACUAGUAACAGGAAUUUUGCUUUUCGGUCGCGGUUUUCUUCUUACCAGGGAAUCAUUAUUUCGGAAUGAUAGCACUAAACCUAGUACAAUUUGUGAUUUAUACGUUACAAAAGACAGAGUCGACAGUUUAAGUCACUCAAGCAAUGAGGAGACAUUCACGGACCAAUGCACUGCACAAUACGAAUCUAUUUCAGCAGUAAAUAGCUUUAAAGUUAUACUGAUUGUAAUCGACGCUUUAAAAUUUGAUUUCGUAUCCUACGAUGAGAACGCCCAGGAAACACCGUUUAAAAAUAAGCUGACUGUAAUACGUGAUUUAUUGAAGGAAAAACCUGAAAGAACCAGAUUGUACAAAUUUAUUGCUGAUCCACCGACAACAACAAUGCAGCGCCUUAAAGGGAUGACAACAGGCAGUUUGCCGACUUUCAUUGACAUAGGCUCUAAUUUUGCUACUCCAGAAAUCAAUGAGGACAAUAUCAUAGACCAACUGAAAAGGCACAAUAGGAGCAUCGUUUUCAUGGGAGAUGACACAUGGUCUGGGUUGUAUCCUGGCCGCUUCUUAAGAGAAUAUGCGUAUCCGUCAUUCAAUGUAUGGGAUCUGGAUACGGUUGACAGCGGUAUUCAGACACAUCUUUUGCCAGAAAUUAGAAAACAAGAUUGGCAUUUGAUAAUAUCGCAUUUCCUGGGUGUAGAUCAUUGUGGCCACAGAUAUGGACCACACCAUCCAGAAAUGGCAAGAAAGCUCAAGGAAAUGAAUCAUGUAAUAAGUGAUGUUGUUAACACUAUGGAUAAUAAUACAAUACUGCUUGUUGUUGGAGACCAUGGAAUGACAAAUACAGGUGACCAUGGUGGAGACAGUGAAGCAGAAGUUACAGCAGCCUUAUUUGUGUACUCGUCAGUUCCACUUGUACCUUCUAGUAUGGUGCCUUAUUCUAGUGUAGUCAGUCAAGUGGAUCUAGUACCAACAUUAUCUACAAUACUGGAUGUGGAUAUCCCAUUUCCCAACCUAGGCACUGUGAUAUUGGAUGCACUGCCUUCUCUUUCUACGAACAGCAGGAGUUUUCCUGAAUGGAAAACACUUCUGUGGUAUUUAUGGAAAAAUGUGGAGCAAGCUUCACACUACAUCCAGCAGUAUUCUAAUGAAAGCAACCAGUUGCCAAAAGAAAAACUUGAUAUAUUAGAUGAAAAGUAUAUUUACCUUGUACAGAAAGUGAAAAGUGUUGAUUGUGAAGAGAGUUUUAAAAACUUUGCCCAACUUGCAAAGGAUUAUUUAAUAUUUCUAAAAGAAAUGUGUAAAGAAGUUUGGGUUCAUUUUGAUCCCUUGUCCAUGUCUCGAGGCCUAAUUGUUACUUUUUUAACGCUGUUCUUUUCGUACCUGCUUGUUGAUGGUUUACCUGGUAAUUUGUUAAUAGAUGUAAUUAGUGAUGCAUUUCUUAUUGUAAUGUGUUUUGCUUUGGGUUUGGCCACUGUUGGAGUUUUAUUUUCGGACUCUUUUAAUGCAAUAGAAAAUUUAGAGCAGGACAUUUACUUUUUUAUGGGAUGUAUAUCACUAUUUUUCAUGUGUGUCAUUAUAAUUCAGAAUUGGGCAUCUAUAACAAAACACUGGUAUAACCAGCAAAAGUUAAAUGAUAUUCCAAGUAUAUUUGCUAGAUUUCUUCUAAUAUGUGGUUUAUUUUCUGUUUUUUCCAACAGUUUUGUUGUGGAGGAAGCCACUGUUGUAUCAUAUUUUGUUACAAGUUUGAUUUGGAUAAUAUUGUAUGAAUUUAAAUCCCCGAGGCAGAGUCAGACUUUGACAGUGAAAUCAUCAUUUUCUAAAUUGCAUUUGUCACCAUCUAGAUUAAAAAUUCUAAGUUUGGCAGCGAUAUUGACCAUCAUGAUUCGGCUGUCCCAUUAUUAUUGGAGAUGUAGGGAAGAACAGGUUAACUGUGGGCCUUUCAUUACUCAUAAAUCUCCUGCAUCUGCAACUGUGGGAAAUAAAUACAGAAAUGCUGAGUGCCUUUUCACUGUUGGUUGUCUUGCUGCAUUUGUCACAGUAGCAAGACUGUGGCUUCGAAGUUGUGGGAACUUAGCUGCGUAUUCGACAACGGUUACACUUUUUAAGUAUUGCCCUAAUUUAAUAGUAGUUUCUACUGGUGGCUUUUGGGUGCUCCAGAGCUUGCCCAGAGACACAAAAAAUAAUGUUUUUUUCCCCUGGCAUCUGCAAGUUUUGCCAUGGUUUAUCUUUACACUUAUCAUUGCUGCAGUUUUUAGUUUGUGUGUUGAACCACUGUGUGUAUAUCUUGUUCCAAAGAAGAAAGAGAAAAUUAUAUCUUUUUAUGGACAGGAGAAUGUGAUUCCUAAUUUAUUCAAACAUGUGAGAAGUAUGAUCCGUGAAAAUAAAAUGAAUGGCAGUGUAAACAGUGACCAGAUAAACAGUACUGAAAACUUCCCAGUUGUUUAUGGACUAGCAACUGUAUAUAGUGCAGCAUUUGUUGUACUCACAGUAUUUGUUUCUCUUCUUGCUGCACUUUUGCAUGGGGAUGUGCUGGCACCAUCAUUAGUAUUGAUGGUGUCAACAGCAGCUGGAGUUUUGGCUAUGCUGUCAGUGGGACAGUUUGAAAAAUCUCAAACAGCUGGUGCUGUGUAAAUGCAGAUAUUCCUGCAAGUCAUUGUCAUACAGAAAACAGAGCGCCCCCCUGUUUGUGCUGUUCUACCACCUCUCUUAAGAGCAACAGGAUACAUUCUUAAUCGGGUGCAUUCAAGUAACAUCUGUUGCCAGAAGACAUCAUGGUACAAAUAAUAAGCCCUAUGAGAGCAGAAGGCAAGAGCCAGCAUGCAUUACAUAAUACCUAAUGGUUCAGGAGUAGGCAUGCAAGUAUGUAAUAAAAUGUUCUCAGAUAUUUUUGGAUUUCCUUCCUGAUGGCUACAGACUCUUCAAGAUAAACUUUAAAGGGGGAAACAACUUACGACGACUGUAGAGAACACAUUCUCAUCUCUUCAUUGUGCCUUGGUCAUCUGUUAUAUGCUGGGGAUUUCUUUCUGUCACCUUCUUUUAUGCAACAGGGCAUCAACCAGCAUUCAGUACAAUACAGUGGAAUGCUGCAUUUGUAGGCACUACUGGCCAAU